rnacentral:rRNA from 1 species
CGGGGUGCAGCAGGCGCGAAAACUUUACAAUGCCGGCAACGGCGAUAAGGGAACCUCGAGUGCCAGGUUACAAAUCUGGCUGUCGUGAUGCCUAAAAAGCAUUGCAUAGCAAGGGCCGGGCAAGACCGGUGCCAGCCGCCGCGGUAACACCGGCGGCUCGAGUGGUAACCGUUAUUAUUGGGUCUAAAGGGUCUGUAGCCGGCCGGAUAAGUCUCUUGGGAAAUCUGGCAGCUUAACUGUCAGGCUUUCAGGAGAUACUGUCUGGCUCGAGGCCGGGAGAGGUGAGAGGUACUUCAGGGGUAGGGGUGAAAUCUUGUAAUCCUUGAAGGACCACCAGUGGCGAAGGCGUCUCACCAGAACGGACCUGACGGCAAGGGACGAAAGCUAGGGGCACGAACCGGAUUAGAUACCCGGGUAGUCCUAGCCGUAAACGAUACUCGCUAGGUGUCGGCCACGGUGCGACCGUGGUCGGUGCCGUAGGGAAGCCGUGAAGCGAGCCACCUGGGAAGUACGGCCGCAAGGCUGAAACUUAAAGGAAU